rnacentral:lncRNA from 1 species
GAUGAGGUUUUCACUUGCCUUUAUGUACUGUGUAUUUGAACUGCUCAUAGAAUCCCUUGUUCUUUAAAUACGCUGUGCAUUCAUGGAUAAAAUGAAAUCUAUAUGAGAUCUCUCUGAGGAUUUUUGUUAUUCUUAUGCUUGUCUUCUGAGCAUCUUCAAGUAAUUGAUUUUUACCCAGUAACUGCCCUCAUAGAGGUGGACCCCUUGAUCUUGAACUCCCCAAUCUCCAGAACU